rnacentral:rRNA from 1 species
UCCCAGACUCCUACGGGAGGCAGCAGUGGGGAAUAUUGCACAAUGGGGGAAACCCUGAUGCAGCGACGCCGCGUGAGUGAAGAAGUAUUUCGGUAUGUAAAGCUCUAUCAGCAGGGAAGAGAAUGACGGUACCUGACUAAGAAGCCCCGGCUAACUACGUGCCAGCAGCCGCGGUAAUACGUAGGGGGCGAGCGUUAUCCGGAUUUACUGGGUGUAAAGGGAGCGUAGACGGCUGGUCAAGUCUGAAGUGAAAGCCCGGGGCUUAACCCCGGAACUGCAUUGGAAACUGUAUAUCUAGAGUGUCGGGGAGGCAAGUGGAAUUCCUGGUGUAGCGGUGAAAUGCGUAGAUAUCAGGAGGAACACCAGUGGCGAAGGCGGCUUGCUGGACGAUGACUGACGUUGAGGCUCGAAAGCGUGGGGAGCAAACAGGAUUAGAUACCCUAGUA